UAAUCAAAUAACAAAACUUGAUGGAGGUAGUCUGCCUUUUGUCAAGCAUUUAUAUGGGUGAAUUGCAUUCUGAAGUGUGCGAUCAUUGCAAAAUAGUGAUGGUGUUAAACCAAGAGAAUCAUUUAAGGGAACAUUGCAAGUACAAUAACGGCUUCUGUAAUGGUUGUGGUGCUAGAAGUGCGUUGCUACACGGGCAGGGUAAGUAGUUAACCAGCAUCUGCCUGUACUAGAGGAGGCUAACUUAUCCCAGGUAAGUUGUCAAACCAUUCUCAAAUGAUUUUACGGUUUGCCCUGGGAUGGUGCCAGGAUGCAGUGGGCUGUAGUGUUUAUGGUGUUUGGCAUAUUGCUUUAACUUUCUAUAGCACUGCUGAGCAAAAUUCAUAAUCUGUUGCUUAUGGG